rnacentral:lncRNA from 1 species
AACACAGUCAGAGACAAUAGAAGGAAACAUUAGAGAGAAACAUAGUAGAGGAAAGAACAUAGGAGUCAAAGUAGUAACAGGUAGGAAUCACAGUAAGACUAAUACAGUAAGAACACCACAUAAAUUUACAAUAGAACAAAUAAAAUCAAAGAAACCCUAAAUCGGAGAAGAUGAAUAGUUUUGAAAGCGAACUUUCGUAAGAGAUUUAAGGAAUCAUUUUGAAAACCUUAAAACAAGCAUGGAUCUAGAGCGGAUCUAAAGAAAUAUAGGAAAACCUCAAAGGGCUAAGGUUUCAAAAGAACACUAGAAGUGAGAAAGGCCUGGGAAAUGGUCUGCUCUGAGCAAGGUGAGCCAAAGAUAGGCUCAUAGGACCAGGACAUGCCAGAGAUGGCCGUGAAUCUUGAAUCGGUGAUGAUCUCAAUGAAAACCUUCAAGUUCAGACCUUGAAUUUUUCCAGUAGCAGGUGUACAAGAGCACAUAGAGGUGAGUACAGGCCACCCAGGGCCUAGGGAUGCCAUGGAUUUCGGUGAAACAUAGUGGAAAACAGUGGGAGAAGGCUUGGGUUUUGGAGGGGCUAGAGAUAGGUUGAGAGAAUAAGGGUUUGAGGGCGGCUGUU